UAGAUGCGAGAGUAGAGCAUAUCAAUAAGCGGAGGAAAAGAAAACUAACAAGGAUUCCCUUAGUAACGGCGAGUGAAGCGGGAAGAGCUCAAAUUUGAAAUCUUCAAGGUUCUACCUUGACGAAUUGUAGUUUAAAGAAGUGUUUUCUGUUAGAUGAGUAGCAAAAGUUCCUUGGAAUGGGACAUCAUAGAGGGUGAGAAUCCCGUAUUUGGUUAUUCAUUCUAGCUUUGUGAUACACUUUCAAAGAGUCGGAUUGUUUGGGAAUGCAGUCCAAAAUGGGUGGUAAAUUUCAUCUAAAGCUAAAUAUUGGCGAGAGACCGAUAGCGAACAAGUACCGUGAGGGAAAGAUGAAAAGAACUUUGAAAAGAGAGUUAAACAGUACGUGAAAUUGUCAAAAGGGAAGCGUUUGACACCAGUGUUGUUUUUCCGAAAAUCAAUUACGAAUGGCUUGAUUUUGUGUUGUAUUGACCUUAUCAGCUUUCUGCACUUUUUUCGAGUCUUUCUUAAUGCACUUUUCGGUUAACAAGUCAACAUCAAUUUCUUUUGUUGUAGAAGAGUAUUCGGAAGGUGGCUUUCUUUUCGGAGAAAGUGUUUAUAGCCCUAUACUUCUACAAUCGGAGAGAUUGAGGUCUGCAGCGUAGAUCCUUCGGGGUUAGAUACACUUGUGCUAAGUUGUAGCUUUUCAUAGACAACUUGUUGACUAUGUUUAGUCAUGCGGCUUACUCGCUUGUGCUAUUUUACCUACGCUUAGGAUGUUGAGCGCAUGUCUCUCUCU
rnacentral:rRNA from 1 species